UCCUGGUUAACCCAGGCAGUCUCGUUAGAGUUCCCACCAUUACGUGUUGGCAACUAACAAUAAGGGUUGCGCUCGUUGCUGGACUUAACCAAACACCUCACGGCACGAGCUGACGACAGCCAUGCAGCACCUAUAUAGAGACCCUUUCGGGAAUGUCCCUUUCAGGACACGUCCUCUACAUUUCGAGCCCAGGUAAGGUUCUUCGCGUUGCAUCGAAUUAAACCACAUGCUCCACUGCUUGUGCGGGCCCCCGUCAAUUCUUUUGAGUUUCACCCUUGCGAGCGUACUCCUCAGGCGGCAUACUUAUCGCGUUAGCUGCGACACAGCCAGGGUUGAGCCCGACCACAUCUAGUAUGCAUCGUUUACGACAUGGACUAC
rnacentral:misc_RNA from 1 species